rnacentral:rRNA from 1 species
AUUGAACGCUGGCGGCAUGCUUUACACAUGCAAGUCGAACGGUAACAGGCCGCAAGGUGCUGACGAGUGGCGAACGGGUGAGUAAUGCAUCGGAACGUGCCCAGUCGUGGGGGAUAACUACUCGAAAGAGUAGCUAAUACCGCAUACGAUCUAUGGAUGAAAGCGGGGGACCGUAAGGCCUCGCGCGAUUGGAGCGGCCGAUGUCAGAUUAGGUAGUUGGUGGGGUAAAGGCUCACCAAGCCAACGAUCUGUAGCUGGUCUGAGAGGACGACCAGCCACACUGGGACUGAGACACGGCCCAGACUCCUACGGGAGGCAGCAGUGGGGAAUUUUGGACAAUGGGCGCAAGCCUGAUCCAGCAAUGCCGCGUGCAAGAAGAAGGCCUUCGGGUUGUAAACUGCUUUUGUACGGAACGAAACGGCUCUGGUUAAUACCCGGGGCUAAUGACGGUACCGUAAGAAUAAGCACCGGCUAACUACGUG